rnacentral:rRNA from 1 species
UUACACAUGCAAGUCGAGCGGUAACAUUUCUAGCUUGCUAGAAGAUGACGAGCGGCGGACGGGUGAGUAACGCGUAGGAAUCUGCCUAGUAGUGGGGGACAACAUGUGGAAACGCAUGCUAAUACCGCAUACGCCCUACGGGGGAAAGGAGGGGAUCUUCGGACCUUUCGCUAUUAGAUGAGCCUGCGUGAGAUUAGCUAGUUGGUGGGGUAAGGGCCUACCAAGGCGACGAUCUCUAGCUGGUCUGAGAGGAUGAUCAGCCACACUGGGACUGAGACACGGCCCAGACUCCUACGGGAGGCAGCAGUGGGGAAUAUUGGACAAUGGGCGCAAGCCUGAUCCAGCCAUGCCGCGUGUGUGAAGAAGGCCUUAGGGUUGUAAAGCACUUUCAGGAGUGAGGAAGGGUGUACGGUUAAUACCCGUAUAUUUUGACGUUAACUCCAGAAGAAGCACCGGCUAACUCUGUGCUAGCAGCCGCGGUAAUACAGAGGGUGCGAGCGUUAAUCGGAAUUACUGGGCGUAAAGCGC